GACAGAGGGUGCAAACGUUGUUCGGAAUUACUGGGCGUAAAGCGCGCGUAGGCAGCAGCGUGUGUCGGGCGUGAAAUCCCAUGGCUCAACCUCGGGCCUGCAGUCGAUACGGGCAGACUAGAGUUCGGUAGGGGAGACUGGAAUUCCUGGUGUAGCGGUGAAAUGUGCAGAUAUCAGGAGGAACACCGGUGGCGAAGGCGGGUCUCUGGGCCGAAACUGACGCUGAGGAGCGAAAGCGUGGGGAGCAAACAGG
rnacentral:rRNA from 1 species